AAUGAACUGUUUGUACCUUUAUACUAUGAGAAAAGGAACCUAUACUGGACUGAACAACCAAUCCAGUGUUUUAAGGAAGAAACUAUAAAUUUUUUUCACCCCAUGAAUUUUUAAAGAACUAUUCUAAACAUUUGUUAAAAGAAACUGACAAGAUACUCCUUAAGAAAUGCAACACAGAGGACUCUGUAGCCCAACGCAUGAUCUACACUCCAAACUGAAGUUUCUCAUUCAACCUUUGUCUGCUUUACCAUCCUGAUGAGCUUGCCUUAACGUUAACUCAAUGACCCAUGUUGCCCUGUUCACCAAAAUCCUGAAACCAACACUGAGGUAGUCCUGGAGCCUGGCUGUGGCUCUGCCCCACAUUCCUGAGCCGACUCCACCCCUUGCUACUACUGGUCACAGUGGAGAGAUACAUAGAGGACAACAGGCAAGGAAGAAAGAGAGCUAAAGAAGAUUGUCAUUAUUUCCUCACUCUUUCCACCAAAGAUAUUAUCUCCUGGUCCUGAAAUAGUACUGCUCCUUCACACCCUCCUGAGAUACCAGACAAUAAAAAAUGUAGAUUUUAAAAAGUAACCAUCACCUU
rnacentral:sRNA from 1 species